rnacentral:lncRNA from 10 species
CAGCGACCGAGGGGAUGAGGGGGGCGAAACCACCCAGCCUCACUGCCGCUUAAAAUCAAAGCCGAAGAACUCUAGGUCAGCAGACACCUAUUUCCCAUUUUCCAGUUCCUCUCCUCCGCGACCCCCCACCCUCAGCUAGGGCUCGGCGCCCACCUGCUCCUCUGCCCACGGUCGAAGGAGUGAAUUUCAAAAGUGCUUUUCUUGGCUUCUAAAAAUGUGAGAGGGCGAUCCGCGAGCUUGGGCGCGCUGCCUGCGAGACUGGCGCGCCCACAGGAACCGGCACUCAGGUGACGGGCUGAAACUGGUGCCUGCAGCGACUGCUAUUUUGGCCCAACCAGCCUCUUCAGGCUUCGGCGGUACACGCCCCGGGGGUAGUUACAGUCCUCCUGGCUCUGAUGAGUCUCUGCCCGCGGAAGAUCAAAAAGGCUGAGGUUGGCAAGGGCGUUCCUCCCGCACCCGACGGCUGAGAAGGAAGAUGGGCAGGAUAGGUAGUGGGGAGGGCACAAUCUAGUUAACACUCGGAAUCCUGUCUGAAAUAAAGGAAAAUGCAUGUUCAGACUCCCAAGAGACCCGGAAAACGCGGAGGAUCUGCCAAAAGCAUUCCAAGAAGAGAAGAAACCAACGCCAGGGAGAGAUUCUUUUAUACACAUUAUGGCAGCUGCACAUGGCUUCCGUCAGUAACUGGGGCCAGGGGGUGUGAGGACGGUGACCGGGAGCCAAGGAGAGGGCCACGGGAACCGAACACCGGAGUCCCUAUGGUGUUGCGCUGUGGGAGUCCAAUGUCUAGUCCUGGAGCCUCCGAGAGCGCGCUGGUGGUCCUUUGGGACCUUCCCUUUCGGGUUAUAGACUGCACCUUCAAUGCCAGGUCAACUCAAGGCAGUGGUGUGGCAAACACAUGGGGUAUGGUUACAUAGAGCCUGAAGUGCUGAAAUAGAACUUGCUACAUAUCAACAAAAAUCCAUCACUGCUAAUUUGAAAACUCUCAUAAUGCAAGGCCUAAACAGAAAUCUUUAAAACCAGUAGGAUUAUGUAAAAAGCAUUUUAUUAUUUUUGCAUACUAUAUGAAAAUAAGAUAUAUUCUUUACUUGUAUAUAUAAUGAUCUCGCAUAGUAAGUAGCCCCUAUGUGGUAAAAGAUAAUAAUUUUAAGAAGGAUCAAUUGAAACAGUAGAGAUUUUCAGCUAGUUUGGGAGUCUCCCUGAAACUGUGUGAAAUAAUCAUCAGAUCGGGGUGGCCAUGGACCUUCUGAUGAAAAGAUACGGUUGAGAGUUCAUUCCGUGGCUUUGGUCCGAGAUGUUUUGGAAAGAUAAGAACUGACGGGAUUGAGUCCACAGGUUUCUUUUCCCAAUGCUGCUUUCAGAUGAAAAGCAACUGGAAAUGGGAACAAGCCUCUUUGUGACUGAUAUUCCUCCGUGGUAGACAAGAUUGAUGCAUCUGGAAGGCCAGCACUGAUGUCUGCUCUGGGGUGGCCACAGAGGGAAAAGGAAGCACAAGUUGCCAACUCUGGGGUGUCUGAUGACCGUGGGGCCUCAUUCACAGCUACUCUCUCCUGACCAGGGGGAGCCCGCCUUCCUCUUUACUUCAGCUAAAUGAGAAAGCCUACCUCUCAGCAGGCCUGGGAGGAUGAAGGAUAAGAAUCCAAAGUUGUGUAGAUGAUAAUCAGGAUUUAUCCUGGUACAUUUAAUGCAUUUAAUAGCUUGGGGAGUGUAAUCUGAAGUUGAGUAUUCAGAAAAAGAAUAACUUCUGGCUGGAGACUGAACAGGAUUAAAUCAAGCCGUUAGCUAGAAACACAGUGUUG